rnacentral:rRNA from 1 species
AGAGUUUGAUCAUGGCUCAGAUUGAACGCUGGCGGCAGGCCUAACACAUGCAAGUCGAACGGUAACAGGAAGAAGCUUGCUUCUUUGCUGACGAGUGGCGGACGGGUGAGUAAUGUCUGGGAAACUGCCUGAUGGAGGGGGAUAACUACUGGAAACGGUAGCUAAUACCGCAUAACGUCGCAAGACCAAAGAGGGGGACCUUCGGGCCUCUUGCCAUCGGAUGUGCCCAGAUGGGAUUAGCUAGUAGGUGGGGUAACGGCUCACCUAGGCGACGAUCCCUAGCUGGUCUGAGAGGAUGACCAGCCACACUGGAACUGAGACACGGUCCAGACUCCUACGGGAGGCAGCAGUGGGGAAUAUUGCACAAUGGGCGCAAGCCUGAUGCAGCCAUGCCGCGUGUAUGAAGAAGGCCUUCGGGUUGUAAAGUACUUUCAGCGGGGAGGAAGGGAGUAAAGUUAAUACCUUUGCUCAUUGACGUUACCCGCAGAAGAAGCACCGGCUAACUCCGUGCCAGCAGCCGCGGUAAUACGGAGGGUGCAAGCGUUAAUCGGAAUUACUGGGCGUAAAGCGCACGCAGGCGGUUUGUUAAGUCAGAUGUGAAAUCCCCGGGCUCAACCUGGGAACUGCAUCUGAUACUGGCAAGCUUGAGUCUCGUAGAGGGGGGUAGAAUUCCAGGUGUAGCGGUGAAAUGCGUAGAGAUCUGGAGGAAUACCGGUGGCGAAGGCGGCCCCCUGGACGAAGACUGACGCUCAGGUGCGAAAGCGUGGGGAGCAAACAGGAUUAGAUACCCUGGUAGUCCACGCCGUAAACGAUGUCGACUUGGAGGUUGUGCCCUUGAGGCGUGGCUUCCGGAGCUAACGCGUUAAGUCGACCGCCUGGGGAGUACGGCCGCAAGGUUAAAACUCAAAUGAAUUGACGGGGGCCCGCACAAGCGGUGGAGCAUGUGGUUUAAUUCGAUGCAACGCGAAGAACCUUACCUGGUCUUGACAUCCACAGAACUUUCCAGAGAUGGAUUGGUGCCUUCGGGAACUGUGAGACAGGUGCUGCAUGGCUGUCGUCAGCUCGUGUUGUGAAAUGUUGGGUUAAGUCCCGCAACGAGCGCAACCCUUAUCUUUUGUUGCCAGCGGUCCGGCCGGGAACUCAAAGGAGACUGCCAGUGAUAAACUGGAGGAAGGUGGGGAUGACGUCAAGUCAUCAUGCCCCUUACGACCAGGGCUACACACGUGCUACAAUGGCGCAUACAAAGAGAAGCGACCUCGCGAGAGCAAGCGGACCUCAUAAAGUGCGUCGUAGUCCGGAUUGGAGUCUGCAACUCGACUCCAUGAAGUCGGAAUCGCUAGUAAUCGUGGAUCAGAAUGCCACGGUGAAUACGUUCCCGGGCCUUGUACACACCGCCCGUCACACCAUGGGAGUGGGUUGCAAAAGAAGUAGGUAGCUUAACCUUCGGGAGGGCGCUUACCACUUUGUGAUUCAUGACUGGGGUGAAGUCGUAACAAGGUAACCGUAGGGGAACCUGCGGUUG